rnacentral:rRNA from 1 species
AUGACGUCUUUGAGUGCCCCCAAGGACAAGUUCUUCAAGAAGUUCAUCAACCCCUACCUCGCGGAGGUGCUGCAACACCCUCAAACCAUUGAGAUGCGUGAGGGGUUGCUGCAUAUCCGUGAUGUCGAGGGACCAAGGAGGACUGGAAGUGUGGAGACAAGAGUCGAAGCAAUGGAGCAACAAGUUUUCAAGUGCCAGGAGAUGGUGGAACGUGGACUCGACGCCAACCACAUAAUGAUCACGGUGUUCACUAGCAACACCAAGGUAGAUGCCAGGAACAUCGGGGAGACCAUCUUCAAGCUUCACGAGAAAAUUGAGCACUCCAAGCCCAGAUCUAUGGCCUGCAAAACAAAAACUGUAAGUAUGAAUAUAGAUUCAAGAGGAUGA